rnacentral:piRNA from 1 species
AAUCGAAGACUCAGUGACUGUAAG